AUNGGUCCUNNCGGNGNGACNUUUUUUCCCGGCUCAGUCAAAGCANACCGGAUGGCNCCUUUGCUAACUAGGUANCUGAGCGGCGUGCACGGGUGCAGUCAAUUGCUUANGAAUCUGGCCUAUUAGUNGGGGGACAACAUCUCGAAAGGGANGCUAAUACCCGCAUGACGUCCUNACGGGAGAAAGCAGGGGAUNNUCGGACCUUGCGCUAAUAGAUGAGCCUAAGUCGGAUUAGCUAGUUGGUGGGGUAAAGGCCUACCAAGGCGACGAUCUGUAGCGGGUCUGAGAGGAUGAUCCGCCACACUGGGACUGANACACGGCCCAGACUCCUACGGGAGGCAGCAGUGGGGAAUAUUGGGACAAUGGGGGGAACCCUGAUCCAGCCAUGCCGCGUGUGUGAAGAAGGCCUUAUGGUUGUAAAGCACUUUAAGCGAGGAGGAGGCUACUUUAGUUAAUACCUAGAGAUAGUGGGACGUUACUCGCAGAAUAAGCCCCGGCUAACUCUGUGCCAGCAGCCGCGGUAAUACANAGGGUGCGAGCGUUAAUCGGAUUUACUGGGGCGUAAAGCGUGCGUAGGCGGCUUAUUAAGUCGGAUGUGAAAUCCCCGNAGCUUAACUUGGGAAUUGCAUUCGAUACUGGUGAACUAGAAUAUGGGAAAGGAUGGUAANAAUUCCAGGUGUAGCGGUGAAAUGCGUAAAGAUCUUGGAGGAAUACCCNAGGGNGAAAGCCANCCCNUCUGGCCNUAAUAACUGGACCCUGAGGUUNCAAAAGCNUGGGGGACNCAAACNGGAUUAANUCCCNUGGGUAGUCCCUNGCCGUAANCNAUGUCUANUUANCCCUUGGGGCCUUUUGANGUUUUANUGGGNNCNNCUUA
rnacentral:rRNA from 1 species